CAGAAGUGAAGAAAUGGGAUGA
rnacentral:piRNA from 1 species